AAAAUCGAUUUUGGGCGUUCACCAUUCUUUUCCUUCGAGUCCGUCAGCCGUCAACCAUCUUGUAAACGGUUGCUAUAGAUAUUUUUGCUUGAUUGUUGUUUUGAAUAGCACAUAUUUUACUGUUUUGAGUGUAUAAUAUAAGUUUUAUUAUUGGUAACCAACGAGAUGUCUCGCUAUAGAGAAUGGGAUCUUUCUUGCAAGGUGUACGUCGGUAAUUUGGGAUCAUCUGCAAGUAAACAUGAAAUUGAAAGCGCCUUUAGCAAAUAUGGUCCUUUGAGAAAUGUGUGGGUGGCUAGAAAUCCUCCAGGCUUCGCUUUCGUUGAAUUCGAGGAUUCAAGGGAUGCGGAAGAUGCCGUGAGAGGGUUGGACGGCACUCGAUGCUGUGGUACAAGGGUCCGUGUUGAAAUGUCAAAUGGGCGAUCAAGAAGAGGAGGUGGAGGUGGUGGUAGGAGGGGUCCCUCAAGGUAUUCCAGCUAUUACAGGCCAACGUCACUGCUGUUGUUUUCUCCCCCCGACCGAGUCUACCCAACCCCCCCAACGUCCUCUGGCCUACACAUCUCAUCUUUAAUUAAUUAAAUACGACACACAACAACUAGGGUUCAACAACUACUUCUGUCAUCUACAAACAACAGCCCAAAUGAGGUCGGUUUAAAAGAAAAGUGGCCUAAAACAACAUCGUCUCCACCAGAAAAUCAUCAGCAGUCGGCUUUGAUUCUUCCAAAAAUUGCAAAACAAAAACUGCCAAGGGCAACUUCAUCCGGCUAGGCAACGGUCAUCAUCUUCCGUACAAAACAUCUACAAAAUUUUUCCUCAUCAUAAACAACAACUUCCUUCCCAUGGGUACAGGUUACUCAAAACCCAACUGAACAAAACCUCAACAAUUUUUUUCAAUCAACGACACUUUGUCAACCUUCAACGAUGUUCCUACGUCUAGAUCACCUAGGAGGUCACGAUCGAUAUCGAGAUCCAGGAGCCGAGACAGGCGCAGCAGGUCGGACUCGAGGGACCGUCGAUGAACGAUGGAGCCCUUGCUUCGAAGAUGACACAUCAGACUAUAUUUUAAGCUAUAUUAUUAUAGUUACUUGGGAAUGAGUCUUUCAUUUAUCCGAAAGUUCACAAGUUCUUCAAGGCACUUUUUCCCUCUUUUUUGUCUAUUCAAAUGAGUCGGAUAUUUUAAUUUCCUAUUUUGUGAGUGAAUAUGUAAUUAUUUGUAUUAUGAUUAUUCUUUAAGACAUACAAAAAAUAUAGAUAGUAAAUAUGUGA